rnacentral:misc_RNA from 1 species
UCCGAGUUGACCCCGGCAGUCUCCUGCGAGUCCCCGCCAUUACGCGCUGGCAACACAGGACAAGGGUUGCGCUCGUUAAUGGACUUAACCAAACAUCUCACGACACGAGCUGACGACGGCCAUGCAUCAUCUGUCACAGGGUUCCCGAAGGCACACUCUACUUUCGUAGUGCUUCCCUGGAUGUCAAACCUAGGUAAGGUUCUUCGUUUAUCAUCGAAUUAAAGAACAUAAUCCACCGCUUGUGCGGCUCCCCGUCAAUUCCUUUAUGUUUUAGUCUUGCGACCGUACUCCACAGGCGGGAUACUUAACGCGUUAGCUUCGCUACUGAAGGGGUCGAUACCUCCAACAGCUAGUAUCCAUCGUUUACGGCGUGGACUAC